ACGGGAGGCAGCAGUGAGGAAUAUUGGUCAAUGGACGCAAGUCUGAACCAGCCAAGUAGCGUGAGGGAUGACGGCCCUAUGGGUUGUAAACCUCUUUUGCGGGGGAAUAAAGUGCGCCAUGCGUGGUGUUUUGCAUGUACCCUGCGAAUAAGGAUCGGCUAACUCCGUGCCAGCAGCCGCGGUAAUACGGAGGAUCCGAGCGUUAUCCGGAUUUAUUGGGUUUAAAGGGAGCGUAGGCCGUGCUUUAAGCGUGUUGUGAAAUGUAGGCGCCCAACGUCUGCACUGCAGCGCGAACUGGAGCACUUGAGUACGCAGGAAGUAGGCGGAAUUCGUCGUGUAGCGGUGAAAUGCUUAGAUAUGACGAAGAACUCCGAUUGGGAAGCCAGCUUACUGUAGCGCCACUGACGCUGAUGCUCGAAAGCGUGGGUAUCGAACAGGAUUAGAUACCCUGGUA
rnacentral:rRNA from 1 species